rnacentral:rRNA from 1 species
GACGAACGCUGGUGGCGGGCUUAACACAUGCAAGUCGAACGGAAAGGCCCUGCUUUUGUGGGGUGCUCGAGUGGCGAACGGGUGAGUAACACGUGAGUAACCUGCCCUUGACUUUGGGAUAACUUCAGGAAACUGGGGCUAAUACCGGAUAGGAGCUCCUGCUGCAUGGUGGGGGUUGGAAAGUUUCGGCGGUUGGGGCUGGAUUGGCGGCUGAUCAGCUUGUUGGUGGGGUAGUGGCUUACCAAGGCUUUGACGGGUAGCCGGCCUGGGAGGGUGACCGGGGACCAGAGUACUGAGAGACGCACCAGACGCCAAUGGGAGGCAGUAGUGGGGAGCAUGGCACAAUGGGCGGGAGCCUGAUGCAGCAACGCCCGGGUUGGGAAGACGGCUUGCGGGUUGAGAAACGCAUCCGGCUGUGACGAAGCGGUAGUGACGGUAAUGGGUAAAGAAGCACCGGCUAACUACGUG